rnacentral:rRNA from 1 species
UACGUAGGGGGCAAGUGUUGUCCGGAAUCAUUGGGCGUAAAGGGUGCGUAGGCGGGUCUUUAAGUCAGGGGUGAAAUCCCGGAGCUCAACUCCAGAACUGCCUUUGAUACUGAAGAUCUUGAGUUCGGGAGAGGUGAGUGGAACUGCGAGUGUAGAGGUGAAAUUCGUAGAUAUUCGCAAGAACACCAGUGGCGAAGGCGGCUCACUGGCCCGAUACUGACGCUGAUGCACGAAAGCGUGGGGAGCAAACAGG